UACAAUGUAGUUUAAAAAAUACCUAUUUUACACGUAGGAGUUUCUUUCAUAAGACUUUGUAA
rnacentral:tRNA from 1 species